rnacentral:ncRNA from 1 species
AGGAGCCGAAUGAGGUGAAAAUCUCAUGUACGGUUCUGGCUCUUUGGGGUCUCAUUUUCUUUCUAUCUGACAAGACAAAGAAAUAGGAAGGGAUGCCCCUAU